GUCAGGAUGGUCGAGCGGUCUAAGGCGCUGCACUCAGGUUGCGGUCUCCCUGGGAGCUGAGGGUUCGAGUCCCACUCCUGACA
rfam:Opisthocomus hoazin contig64235, whole genome shotgun sequence.